rnacentral:rRNA from 1 species
GGGCCCGCACAAGCGGUGGAGCAUGUGGUUUAAUUCGAUGCAACGCGAAGAACCUUACCAGGGCUUGACAUACUGCGAAUUUCUUUGAAAGAAGAAAGUGCCUUCGGGAAUGCAGAUACAGGUGGUGCAUGGCUGUCGUCAGCUCGUGUCGUGAGAUGUUGGGUUAAGUCCCGCAACGAGCGCAACCCUUGUUUUUAGUUACUAAUUCGUUAGGUUCUCUAGAAAGACUGCCGGUGACAAACCGGAGGAAGGUGAGGAUGACGUCAAGUCAGCAUGCCCCUUAUGUCCUGGGCUACACACGUGCUACAAUGGUUAAGACAAAGAGUCGCGAGCUCGCGAGAGUCAGCU